rnacentral:rRNA from 1 species
AGCGAACGCUGGCGGCAGGCCUAACACAUGCAAGUCGAACGAACUCUUCGGAGUUAGUGGCGGACGGGUGAGUAACACGUGGGAACGUGCCUUUUGGUUCGGAAUAACUCAGGGAAACUUGUGCUAAUACCGAAUGUGCCCUCCGGGGGAAAGAUUUAUCGCCAUUAGAGCGGCCCGCGUCUGAUUAGCUAGUUGGUGAGGUAACGGCUCACCAAGGCGACGAUCAGUAGCUGGUCUGAGAGGAUGACCAGCCACACUGGGACUGAGACGCGGCCCAGACUCCUACGGGAGGCAGCAGUGGGGAAUCUUGCGCAAUGGGCGAAAGCCUGACGCAGCCAUGCCGCGUGAAUGAUGAAGGUCUUAGGAUUGUAAAAUUCUUUCACCGGGGACGAUAAUGACGGUACCCGGAGAAGAAGCCCCGGCUAACUUCGUG